UCCGUAGGCGGUGCGGCAAGUCGGAAAGUGAAAUCUCUGGGCUUAACUCAGAGGCUGCUUCCGAAACUGCCGUGCUCGAGUGUGAGAGAGGCGAGUGGAAUUACGGGUGUAGCGGUGAAAUGCGUAGAUAUCCGUAGGAACAUCCGAGGCGAAAGCGGCUCGCUGGAUCACAACUGACGCUGAGGGACGAAAGCUAGGGGAGCAAACAGGAUUAGAUACCCUGGUAGUCCUAGCCCUAAACCAUCAGGACUUGGGGUUUGCCCUGUACGGGGCAAGUCCCGGAGCUAACGCGUUAAGUCCUGCGCCUGGGGAGUACGGUCGCAAGGCUGAA
rnacentral:rRNA from 1 species